GGAAGUAUGGGUGAGCGGUCGUUAUCGGCCUGCCGCUUUCGGAGAAAGAAACCAGCCCUCUGCUAAGGGGCCGAGCCUCUCAAAUGGCUCCGAAGGUUCAAAUCCUUCUGCUUCCG
rnacentral:tRNA from 1 species